UACAGAGGGGGCAAGCGUUGUUCGGAAUUACUGGGCGUAAAGGGCGCGUAGGCGGCCUGCUAAGUCGAACGUGAAAUCCCUGGGCUCAACCCAGGAACUGCGUCCGAUACUGGUUGGCUUGAAUCCGGGAGAGGGACGUGGAAUUCCAGGUGUAGCGGUGAGAUGCGUAGAUAUCUGGAGGAACACCGGUGGCGAAGGCGACGUCCUGGACCGGCAUUGACGCUGAGGCGCGAAAGCCAGGGGAGCAAACGGG
rnacentral:rRNA from 1 species